GUCCACGCCGUAAACGAUGUCUACUAGUUGUCGGUUGUCUUGUACGACUGGUAACGCAGCUAACGCGAUAAGUAGACCGCCUGGGGAGUACGGCCGCAAGGUUAAAACUCAAAUGAAUUGACGGGGGCCCGCACAAGCGGUGGAGCAUGUGGUUUAAUUCGAAGCAACGCGAAGAACCUUACCUGGCCUUGACAUCCUGCGAACUUUCUAGAGAUAGAUUGGUGCCUUCGGGAACGCAGAGACAGGUGCUGCAUGGCU
rnacentral:rRNA from 1 species